UGCUUCCCUAACUCUGUCACUUCUUUGCUACAAAGAAAAUCCAUACUAUCCUCUAAUGAGCAAAUAUUUGUUCAAUUUCAUCACUAAUAGCGGUCAAAAGUGUCGCUGUUGAUGGAGCGCUUGAAGUGGGUAUUGAUGAAUCCAAGCUUUGAUUAGUUUGACCCAUGGCUUUGAAAUGCAGAAAUAUCUAAGGCAGUCCAUUGUGCAGGGAAAGAGAGCAGAUUUCGUCGGAACCAUACACCGAACAGGAAAAACAAUCCCCUUCACUCCAUAUUUGGAAGGUACACAUUGAAUUUUUCUGGAACUUCUUACCGACGAAGAGAGAAAUAUCCAAGGCUGGCCAUCACCAUUAGUUUCCCCACCACCGUCCGUUCCCUUUCCAGAUUCAGACCAUCAGAUUGCCGGAACUAACAUCAACAACGGUUUUUCUGCCAAAAUACGGUUGAGAGAGAGAUACGUUGCAGAAAUACAAGGAGAACCGAGAAAGAGAACAAUAGAGAGAGAGAGAUUCGAUCUGUCUCAAUUUCUCUCAAGAUUAGAAUUCACAUAAAGGCCUACUUCCUCCCAACGUCUACCGUCCUUUCAGAACUGCUACUGGUCUUUUAGAAGAAGUAACAUGGAUCUCUUUGGGUUAUGCUUUUCAAUUUGUUCAAUCUAUCACUCUUUUGAAGAAUCAGGUAUUAACUUCAAACAAUGGGUAUGACCUUUUUAAUAGUUUGUUGAAUUCAUUUUUUUCCCAAUUUAUUACACAUGGUACAAUCUUAGGUAUCAUACAAAAAUAAAAAUAAAAAUAAAUAAAUAAAAAUGCCUCUUCAAAUGUGGCAUCAUGAUCAUGUGAGCAGGAUGUGUAUUCUAUUCAUGAUAUGUUGCAAUCAAAUUGUAUUCUAAGCAUGCACCACAACUGUGUAUUAUCCAUACUCUUAAGAGGAUUGACUCUAUAUACCUUAUGUGCCUACUUUGCUAUAAUGGAUGUGGUUUAGUAUGGUGUGACUAGGCGCCAUGCAUUUUGAGUCUCAUUUGAGACUAACUUUGAGAGUUAAGAAUACUAUUUUUUGAGAAAUGAAUACAAGAAAUGCACUUAACAAAUAGGAGUACAUUAAUAGAAAAGACAUUCCGAAAGCCUCAAAAAUUAUUUGCAAAAAAAAUUGUAAAACCCAGGUAGAAUCAAAUGCAUGGUAAUGUUUAUUUGCAAUGGUAAAUAUACGCAUCACUUUAUCAUGCAUAGCGGUAAUAUUUAUUUUUCAUGACUUCUAUUUGUUCAGAGUUUAGGAAAAAAAAAAUUGUUUUAGCCAGAAGGAGAUGAUUGUUGAGAGAUUGAAUACAUACUGGAUUACUUUCAGAUAUGAUUUGUUAGUUUUAUGUGUUUUCUGUUAAAAUAAAAAUAUAUGGGAAAAGUUGUGUGCUUCAUAUUUGCUUAAGUUGGUAGAAGUCUUGAUGGUGAUAAAUGUUUGUUUGUCAAGGUUCAGCAAAGGUGAGUGUAGACUUAUUGACAAUUUUUUUUCAAAAUGAAAUUGGAAGUAGGAACAAACAAAGAAAUAGCAAAGAUUUUGUUAAAAACUAUGUUACUUCAUAUCAAGGGAUUAUUUAUUUAAUAUGGUUGUAUGAUUAUUUCCUGCCAUUUUAAAAAACCUUUUUACCCUUUCAAUUUUUGUUGAAAUUCAGAUUUGCUGAGUUUUCCCUGUCAAUUAUGAAACUUAAUAAUUCAUGAAUAUGCCAAAUUUCAACUUGGAUGGUUUAAGAUCUAAAAGUUUAGACUGUAUAGUUAUGGGUUUACCCUCUUUCUAUUGAUGUUACGAUCUGAGAUUAUUACAUCUGGAAGUUAUUUUGCGUUGCUGGAAUUUUGCUCAUGAAGAACAUGAAAAGGCAUAUAUUUUAGAAGAUGAUUCAGGUAUUGUUGCUUUGGUAUAUGAAUAAAAAUAAUUAAUUAUUGAAUGAGUUUUGAAUUUUUUUUAUUUACAUAUUCUGGAGUAUUUAAUAAAACCCAAUUUCUUGAUAUGUUAAGUGCUAUUUGGGAAGAAAAGAAAGUAGUUUGUACCACUUGAGAAAUUUCCUUUUAAUGUUGUUUGUUCAGAAUUGGAUAUGUGUUCUUCUUUCUACUAUGCAUUCUAAAUUUUUUAUUUUUUGUGGAAAAGGGUCAAAAAGAAAGAAAUAAACUAAAGAAUAGAGGACAUGGUGUGUGUAUAGUGUCUUAGGUAAAUUUGGAGAACUAUGUUGAAUCAUUCAUACACUAAGAAGUUUUUUUCCCUGCCUAAAAAAAAGAAACAAGAAAUUAAGCCAAAAAUAAUAGUCUAUCUGAAGUGAAGGAAAUGUCUAUACUUGGUGAAAAAAAGGAAUUUUACCUUUGUUCUCUCAUGUAAAAAGUUAAGAAACAGAAAAUAUCCAAACUACUUGAUGUGUUUAAAUUUGUUAAAGAUGAGAUUUUAGAUGCAAUUCCUCCAGCAUGUAUGUGCUUCAACUUUGGACAUUAGUUUAGUAAAAAAUUUCUUGACACUAUAGUGCUUAUGACCAUUACACACUUGAAACUUCCAUGGAGGAGAUUUGGUGGCUAGGAUUAUAAGAUGCAUUCUUAGAAUUCAGACUACAAAAGAUUGAGAAAAGUGUAACUUGGCGGAGAAAAAAUAUGAAUUUGUUUUUCUUUUCCAAUUUUGUUUUAGGUUCUUUUCUGGUUUUCAACCUUUCAUAGAUUUAAUUUAGAGUGUUUCUUCCGAUAGAUAUUAAAAUAUUGUUUCUUUGUUUUUAUACAUUGGAAUUUUACCUUAUAUUAUUAUUGAAUACGUUCUUCUUAAUUUUCGUCAUUGUUAUAGAUUAGCAAAAAUAGUUUGAGUGGAUUAUGUAUGGAAGUGCACUUCUACUAAAGAAAACAAUUUUUGAAAUGUGGAGCUCAAAAGGUUUUAUUAGCUUCUAUCAUUUUAAAGGUUACAUUUACACGUGGACAACAAUCAUCCAUUUAGCACACCAAAGAAUCCAUUUUGUUCUUAUUGUGUAUACCUUUGUAGUUGGCAUGUUCAAGAUGGACAAAAUAAAAAAAUAAUGCAUUUGAGAAGAUAUGUAUUUGUCAUAAUUUUUUUUUCCAAGUGCUAUUGUGCUAUAGUUUUUACAGGUGAAUGAUGAUGGCCCAAUUCAUCCAAGUGAAACAGAGUUGGCACUUACAAUUCAUCAGGGCUAGAAUAUGGCUUAGCUCACUAAAUGUUUUUUGGGUUAAUGAGUUCUUAGAAUUUUUUUUUUGCGAUGGGGAAUUUUGGACUUUUGACAAUGUUAUUAAUCCUAACUCUAUAUCCCACAA